UACGUAGGGGGCUAGCGUUGUCCGGAUUUAUUGGGCGUAAAGAGCGUGUAGGCGGCCAGGUAGGUCUGCUGUGAAAACUCGAGGCUCAACCUCGAGACGCCGAUGGAAACCAUGUGGCUAGAGUCCGGAAGAGGAGAGUGGAAUUCCUGGUGUAGCGGUGAAAUGCGCAGAUAUCAGGAAGAACACCCGUGGCUAAGGCGGCUCUCUAGUACGGUACUGACGCUGAGGUGCGAAAGCGUGGGGAGCAAACAGG
rnacentral:rRNA from 1 species